rnacentral:rRNA from 1 species
AGUUUGAUUAUGGCUCAGAUUGAACGCUGGCGGGGAUGCUUUACACAUGCAAGUCGAACGGCAGCACGGACUUCGGUCUGGUGGCGAGUGGCGAACGGGUGAGUAAUGUAUCGGAACGUGCCUAGUAGCGGGGGAUAACUACGCGAAAGCGUAGCCAAUACCGCAUACGCCUUCGGGGGAAAGCGGGGGACCUUCGGGCCCUGCACUAUUAGAGCGGCCGAUAUCGGAUUAGCUAGUUGGUGGGGUAACGGCUCACCAAGGGCGACGAUCCGUAGCUGAAUGCAGAUAUCGACCAGCCACACUGGGACUGAGACACGGCCCAGACUCUACGGAGGGCAGGGGAAUUUUGGACAAAUGGGGGAAACCCUGAUCCAGCCAUCCCGCGUGUGCGAUGAAGGCCUUCGGGUUGCAAAGCACUUUUGGCAGGAAAGAAACGGCAUCGAUAGCACCCCGUGCAACUGACGGUACCUGCAGAAUAAGCACCGGCUAACCACGUGCCACAGCAGCCGCGGCAAUACGUAGGGUGCAAGCGUAAUCGCACCAUUGGGCGUAAAAGCGUGCGCAGGCGGUUCGGAAAGAAAGACAGGAAAUCCCAGAGCUUAACUUGGAACUGCAUUUUUAACUACCGAGCUAGAGGUGUCAGAGGGAGGUGGAAUUCCGCGUGUAGCAGUGAAAUGCGUAGAUAUGCGGAGGAACACCGAUGGCGAAGGCAGCCUCCUGGGAUAACACUGACGCUCAUGCACGAAAGCGGGAUACAAACAGAUGAUACCCCAGAACUAACGCCCCAAACGAUGUCAACUAGCUGUUGGGGCCUUCGGGCUCCGGUAGCGCAGCUAACGCGUGAAGCGACCGCCUCAGAGCACAUCGCAAGAUUAAAACUCAAAGGAAUUGACGGGGACCGCACAAGCGGUAUUGAUGGAUUAAUUCGAUGCAAACGCUGAAAACCACUCACCCUUGACAUGUCUGGAAUCCAAGAGAUUUGGGAGUGCUCGCAAGAAAGAACCGGGAACAGCAGGUGCCGCAUGGCUGUCGCCACCGUGUCGUGAGGUAUGUUGGCGGUUCCGCCACCGGAGCGCAACCUCGUCAUUAGUUGCCGCUGAAAGGGCACCUGACGAGAUCGCCGGGUGACAAACCGGAGGGCGUGGGGAUGACGUCGUCCUGUAUCUUGCGGGCAGGUCACACGCCAUACAAUGGCCGGGACAGGUCGCUAACCCGCGAGGGGGAGCCAAUCCCAGAACCGAUCAAACCGGACUGCAGUCGCAACUCGACCGGAGCCGGAAUCGCUAAAACGCGAUCAGCAUGUCGCGGUGAAUACGUUCCCGGGGUCUUGUACACACUGCCCGUCACACCAUGGGGAGUGGGUUUUACCAGACAGUUAGCUCAACUAUGAGGGCGAUUACCACGGUGGGAUUCAUGACUGGGGCGAAGUCGUACAA